GGAGGAGGAGGAAGAGGAGAAGAAAAGAGGAAGGGCCCCAGGAACAGCAGAAUCCAUUGAGCUGCAUCCUCAUGGCGGAAGUGACGCUGGCUGCAGUGUGGCGACCUGGCGCCCGAGAAGUCACCCUCGGCAGCACAGUCUCCUUCCAACAUGCUCCACUUGAGCUUGGUUUCCAACAGGAGUCUCAGAAGACAAGGAGUAUAUUUACCAUCACAAAGGAAAAGCUCCUUGCUGACAGAAAGAAGAGAAAGAGCACUGACUGAAUAGUUUGUCAUCAGAUCUUCACGGAUGAGUGCACCGUCUCUCCAUGCCUUCAGGAAUGUAAUCUCCAGGAGUCUGACUGUCAGGUCUACCAGCCCCAAACCCUUAGGGGAUGAGUUCACCUAGCUCACUGGGCUUCUGUAAGAAUUCUAUGAAAAAAGCAAAUAAAAUGGAUAGUCCAAAGCCUGAUGCACAGAAAGUUACUUUAUGAAUAAAAGCAGUAUUCAUAGAGCAUCCACCUCCCAGCUACACUCUGAGGUCUAUUUCCUGCUUAGGGUCUUUUUCUG